rnacentral:misc_RNA from 1 species
GAUGAAGAACGCAGCGAAAUGCGAUAAGUAAUGUGAAUUGCAGAAUUCCGUGAAUCAUCGAAUCUUUGAACGCACAUUGCGCCCCCUGGCAUUCCGGGGGGCAUGCCUGUCCGAGCGUCAUUUCUGCCCUCCAGCCCGGCUGGGUGUUGGGCGCUGUCCCCCCGGGGACACGCCCCAAAGGCAGUGGCGGCGCCGCGUCGGGUCCUCGAGCGUAUGGGGCUUUGUCACCCGCUCGGGACGGCCUCGUCGGCGCUGGUCUUCCUCCAGGCGACCCUUCGGGGCUCGUCUUCCUUCGGUUGACCUCGGAUCAGGUAGGGUUACCCGCUGAACUUAAGCAUAUCAAUAAGCGGAGGA